rnacentral:rRNA from 1 species
GACGAACGCUGGCGGCGUGCUUAACACAUGCAAGUCGAACGGAAAGGCCCUGCUUUUGUGGGGUGCUCGAGUGGCGAACGGGUGAGUAACACGUGAGUAACCUGCCCUUGACUUUGGGAUAACUUCAGGAAACUGGGGCUAAUACCGGAUAGGAGCUCCUGCUGCAUGGUGGGGGUUGGAAAGUUUCGGCGGUUGGGGAUGGACUCGCGGCUUAUCAGCUUGUUGGUGGGGUAGUGGCUUACCAAGGCUUUGACGGGUAGCCGGCCUGAGAGGGUGACCGGCCACAUUGGGACUGAGAUACGGCCCAGACUCCUACGGGAGGCAGCAGUGGGGAAUAUUGCACAGUGGGAGGAAGCCUGAUGCAGCAACGCCGCGUGCGGGAUGACGGCCUUCGGGUUGUAAACCGCUGUCGCCUGUGACGAAGCGGGAGUGACGGUAAUGGGUAAAGAAGCACCGGCUAACUACGUG